AUCCAGCUGACAAGUUCUAAAUAGGACGAAAUGGAUGUCCUGAAU
rnacentral:hammerhead_ribozyme from 1 species